rnacentral:lncRNA from 1 species
AUUGGGGUUACUAAAGUACAAACCCGAAAGUUAGUAUUUUAAUCUCAUAUGUUAAUCAACAAGUAAGAUAGAAAAUCCCAACAAUAUUGUUCAAAAAAAUUAGCAAGAACAUUCGUUUGCUUGCUUGAAAAAUAAAAAAAGAAAUUCUAUUAAAACUGAAAAAGAAAAAUGCUAACAAUGAAAUGGUCAAGUAUGAACAACAGAGAUUGUGAUUCAAACCAUGUGAGAACCGACAAGGAGAAGCAUGCAAACUCACAUUCUGCUUCACACUGAGGAAAAGCUUAUGUCAUGAAUAUUAUUUUCCCCUUAAUCACUCCAAUAAAGACAACACCCAAAAUUGUUUUUCUUUUCCCUUUUGAUAUUAACAUAUUUUCUGAAAUCAAAGUUGGUGGCCGUUGCUGCUUGUUUGAGCCAAAGGGUUCAUAUGUGAGCAACUGAACGCACGUUGAGAGACCACUGACUUGGAGGAAUCUGAAUCUAUGGCUCUUAAGAUUAUUAGAAACAAGCGCAGCUCUGCAACUGCAACUGCAACUGAUUGACGCAUGCAAAUGAGAGAUUUCCAAAGUUCUGCGACGUAAAUCUCUAUCUCCCCGAGACUUUAUUGAAUCUUGUGCCACAGCCAGCAUGAUAUUGGGUUGGGGGGCCAAGCCGUAGUGACAAAAAGCCAAGUUUUGUUAGGUGCAUGCAUGCAGUCCCGUGACCUCCUGCACUUGCUCU